AACGAACGCUGGCGGCAGGCCUAACACAUGCAAGUCGAACGCACCGCAAGGUGAGUGGCGCACGGGUGAGUAACACGUGGGAAUGUACCCUUGGUUCGGAAUAACGUUUGGAAACGAACGCUAAUACCGGAUGAGCCCUGUGGGGAAAGAUUAUCGCCAAAGGAGCAGCCCGCGUCUGAUUAGCUAGUUGGUGGGGUAAAGGCCUACCAAGGCGACGAUCGAGUAGGCUGGUCUGAGAGGAUGAUCAGCCACACUGGGACUGAGACACGGCCCAGACUCCUACGGGAGGCAGCAGUGGGGAAUAUUGGACAAUGGGCGGAAGCCUGAUCCAGCCAUGCCGCGUGAGUGAUGAAAGGGCCUUCGGGUUGUAAAAGCUCUUUCGCACGCGACGAUGAUGACGGUAGCGUGAGAAGAAGCCCCGGCUAACUUCGUGCCAGCAGCCGCGGUAAU
rnacentral:rRNA from 1 species